AUGUCAAACUGAUGAGCAUCCAUCGUAUUUGUAGACACCCCUCAAAGGAGAGUUGUACAGCCUAUUCCACUGACAUCCUGACCAAGGCAUCUCCAUCAUGCCUAGGUGGAGUUGGCCUUUUUCCUUACAUUCUGUCUUCACUGGAGACCAGGCAGGUGAAAUCAGCUGGGUGUGAAGUGGCCUUCAGCCAUGUCCUCUCCUGGGGAAUCCAUCCCCCUCCUUCCACUCUUUCCUUGUAAUUGGAAUUGGACCACCUGGUGCCCACGGCUCUCUGGGGUGAAGCUCCCUCUUGGUGUGUCCUGUUCUUCAGUGACAUUUAUUUUUGCUUUCCUCAUGUCCCCUCUUGCAGUGCUCAUCCUGUUGUUACAGUAGCUAUUUGUAGCCUAUGCACCAGCCUGUGUGUUCUUGGGGCCAAGGACUGUGUCCUAUGCUCCUUCCUGUCCCCUGUAUUGCAUAUUGUACCAUGAACCUAGUAGUGAGUGUCCCAUGCAUGUUUGCUGAAUGAGGGAGUGAAUGUCUGACAGACGUUUCAUGGCUUGCAUCCAGCCUGCCCCUAAAUGUUUCCCUAAUUUCUAAUGCUGACACUAGACACCCCACUGAAGGACUAGGGUGUCUAACUAUUCCAUGCUAAGUAUGGGCAAAAGAGGACAGUUUGACCAAGAUGCUCUUUUACCCUUGUGUAUCCAAGUUCCCUCUGAUCAUUAAAUGAGCAGAGACUUCACACAGAAGGUGUUGCUACUGCUGCAGAUGGAGGUCAGAAUUAAGGUACUGCUACUGUUGAUCUCAGACCUUUGAAAGCCAGACCCAAGCUUGGGGUCUUGGGGAUGGGGAUGCUAGGGGAUGGGAUGGCCAGAUACACCAGAGUGGCUGGGAAUGAAAGAGUGUCCCGGAAAACCUGCUUCCUCGGAGCCGAUCCUGUGUGAGCAGAAGAAAUCUAUCCACAGAGGGGUGAGAUCGCAGAGCAAGUGGGUUACCUAAAAAUAGCAGUGCUGGUUUCCCACAGUUAGAGAUGGGUCCUCUGCCAUUCAUCUCAAUUGCUUUGUGCAAGUUUGCUUAUUUAUUGAGAGCGAGAGAAAAGGAUCAAACCAUUCAUCCAAAGAUGGAAAUCUGCAACCUCUUCUACAAUGAUCAGCCAGACAGAUGAGCUGAGUGAGAAGUCCCUGAAAUCUCAGAGGCCUAGGGCUGGCCAGGAGAGUGGGAUGGGCAUGCUUAGGAGAGUGGGGUGGGCAUGGUUAGGAGCUGCCCCCAGCUUGCCCUGCCUUCGUAGCAGAGUUGAUGGUGGGCUGAACCUUACCCCCAACAUGGGGACUUUUGCAGGGGAGGCAGACCUGUGUGUACAUGUGAGGGUACAUAGACAUACAUGAACGUCUAGCUCUCUGAGGGAAGAGAUGAGAUGCAUAAAUCACCUAACCCAGCACAAAGUACACACAAUAGGUGCUUAGUAAAUGUUAAUUAGGGAGUCAAGUAGGUAGAAGUUGAGGUCAGGGCAGGAGGAGGCAGGGAUAGAGGAACAUAAUGUGAAGUAGCCAGAGUAUUUUUGACAAAAAGGUGUGGAUUUUGGAGUCAGGAAAGCCUAGGUUCAAAUCCCAGUUCCACCACUUGUUAACAUGGUAACCUCAGGCCAGUUACUUAACCUCUCAGAGUAUCAGAGUCUUCACCUAUACAUUUUGAGAAUGGCAUGACAUCUCAUGGUGUUACUAGGAUUAUUAAGUAAAAUAAUAUAUUUAGAGUACCUGUACCAGCCCGGGGUUCGAUAAAUUACAGCUGUUUUUCUUUUUAUUAUCAUUUAUUGUGAAUAUCAUGGACAAUGAGGUUCCUCAGUUUAUUAACAGUUAGAAUCUUACUUUAAAAAAAGAACCCAAAUUAGGCUGGGCAUGGUGGCUCAUGCCUGUAAUCCCAGCAGUUUGGGAGGCCAAGGCGGGUGGAUUGCUUGAGGCCAGGAGUUCGAGACCAGCCUGGGCAACAUAGCAAGAUCCCAUCUCUAAAAAAAAAAAACAAAAGAACCCAAGUUGGAAAUACUUGCAAGUCAUGUAUCUAAUCUGAUAAGGGGUUAAUAUCCAGAAUAUAUAGAGAACUCAUAAAACUCAACAAUAACAAAACAAGCCAUUCAAUUAAAAAAUGGGCAAAAGACUUGAAUAGGCAUUUCUCCAAAGGAGAUAUAAAUGGCCAAUAAACACAUGAAAAGGUGUUCAACAACACUAAUCAUUAGGGAAAUGCAAAUCAAAACUACAAUGAGAUACCACCUCAUACCUAUCGGUAUUAGGAUGGCUACUAUCACUGUCAAUGGGGAUGUAAAUGAUACAGUCACUCUGGAAAACAGUAUGGCAAUUCCUCAAAAAAUUAAAAAUAUAAUUACCAUAUGAUCCACAAUUCUACUUCUGGGUAUGUACCCAAAAUAAUUGAAAGCAGGGUCUCAAAGAGAUCUUUGUACACCCAUGUUCAUUCUUCACAAUAGCCAAAAUGGGGAAGCAACUCACCCAUUGUCCAUUGUACAUUGAUAGAUGAAUGGAUAUGCAAAAUAUAGUGUAUACAUAUAUAUACAUAUACACACACACAAUGGAAUAUUAUUCAGCCUUUAAAAAUGAAAUUCUAACAUACAUUACAAUAUGGAUAAACCUCAAGGAUGUUAUUUUUGGUGAAAUAAGCAAGUCACAAAAAGACAAAUAUUGUAUGAUUCCAUUUAUAUGAAGUACUUAGAGUAGUCAAACUCAUUGAGCAGAAAAGAGAAUGAUGAUCCAGGGAAUGUGGGGAGAGGAAAAUGGGGCGUUUUUGUUUAGUGAGUACAGAGUUUCAGUUUUGCAAAAUGAAAAGCAUUAUGAAGAUGGAUGGUGGUGAUGUUUGUACAAUAUUGUGAAUGUACUUAAUACCACUGAUGUGUAAUUUAAAAAGGAUUAAGAUGGUAAACUUUGCAUGCAUUUUAUCACAACAAAAAAAAUUGGAAAAGCACUAAAAUCAAAGAUACCAAUUUUCCCCCAAUCGAUCCAUAGAUUUAAUGCAAUCCCAAUGAAAACAUCAGUAGGCUUUUAAAAAACUGAAAUUGACAAAUGUAUUCUAAAAUUUAUAUUGAAAUGCAAAGACCUCAUAAUAGCCAAAACAAUUUUGAAAAAAUGCAAAGUUGGAAGAUUUAUACUACCAGACUUCAAGAGAUACUAUAAAGCUACAGCAAUAAAGUAUUGGCAUAAGGAUAGGCAUAUUAAUGAAUGGAACAGAAUGGAGAGUUUAAAUGUAGAUCCAUAGACAUGUAUGGUCAAUUGAUUUUCGACCAAGCUACUGAGGUUUUCCACGAGGAAAGGUUAGUCUUUUCAACAAAUGAUGCUGAAAAAGUUGGAUAUCCAUUUGGAAGAAACCCCAAAAACCCAAAAAAACAAAAAGCCUUAAUUCUUCUUACUUAUCACAACACACAGAAUUCAACUCAAAAUGGAUCAUAGGCCUUGGGACAAGUAAUAUUAUGUGUCAACUUGACUGGGUCACAGGUGCCCAUACAUUUGGUGAAACAUCAUUCUGGGUGUUUCUGUGAGGGUGUUUUUGGAUGGAAUUAACAUUUAACUUGGUAGGCUGGAUAAAGCUGAGUGCUCUCCCUAAUGUGGGUGGGCCUCGUCUAAUCAGUUGAAGGCCUGACUAGAACGAAAAGGCUGACAUUCCUUUGAGUAAGAGAGGAUUCCUCCUGCCUGAUGGCAUUUGAGCUGGGCUGUCAACUUUUUCCUGCCCUUGGACUUGAACUAAAACACUGGCUCUUCCUGAGUCUUGAGCCUGCCAGCUUUGCACUGGAACUAUACCAUCAGCUUUCCUGAUUCUCAGGCCUUUAGAGUUGUCCAGAACUAUACUGUCAGCUCUCCCGGCUCUCCAGCUUGCCGACUCACUCUGCAGAUCUUGUGACUUGUCAGCCUCCAUCAUCAUGUGAGCCAAUUCAUUAUAAUAAAUAUCUUUUCAU
rnacentral:lncRNA from 1 species